UGGGGAAUAUUGCACAAUGGGCGAAAGCCUGAUGCAGCCAUACCGCGUGUGUGAAGAAGGCCUUCGGGUUGUAAAGCACUUUCGUCAGGGAAGAAAGGUGCGGAGUUAAUACCUCCGUACUGUGACGGUACCUGAAUAAGAAGCACCGGCUAACUCCGUGCCAGCAGCCGCGGUAAUACGGAGGGUGCAAGCGUUAAUCGGAAUCACUGGGCGUAAAGCGCGCGUAGGCGGUCUGGUCAGUCAGAUGUGAAAGCCCCGGGCUCAACCUGGGAACUGCAUUUGAUACUGCCAGACUAGAGUGUAGUAGAGGGAAGCGGAAUUCCGAGUGUAGCGGUGAAAUGCGUAGAUAUUCGGAGGAACAUCAGUGGCGAAGGCGGCUUCCUGGACUAACACUGACGCUGAGGUGCGAAAGCGUGGGGAGCAAACAGG
rnacentral:rRNA from 1 species